rnacentral:rRNA from 1 species
UACGGAGGAGGCAAGCGUUAUCCGGAAUUAUUGGGCGUAAAGCGUCCGCAGGUGGCACUUCAAGUCUGUCGUCAAAGACUGGGCUUAACCCUGGAAAGGCGGUGGAAACUGAAGCGCUAGAGUGCGGUAGGGGUAGAGGGAAUUCCGGGUGUAGUGGUGAAAUGCGUAGAUAUCCGGAGGAACACCAGUGGCGAAGGCGACUUCUGGCCUGUUCUUGACGCUGAGGCGCGAAAGCUAGGGGAGCAAACGGG